AGCUCUAAUAGCGUAUAUUAAUGUUGUUGCAGUUAAAAAGCUCGUAGUUGGAUUUUGGUGUUCGACAAAUGGUCUGCUUCGGUUUGUACUGUUUGUUGGCGCUUCUUUUCUGGGGAACUCACUGCUCUUAACUGAGGGGUGUUGUAACGCAGAUCGUUUACUUUGAAAAAAUUAGAGUGUUCAAAGCAGGCCAACGCAUUUUGAAUACAUUAGCAUGGAAUAAUGGAAUAGGACUUUGGUCUUAUUUUGUUGGUUUCUAAGGCCGAGGUAAUGAUUAAUAGGGAUAGUUGGGGGCGUUUAUAUUCCGUUGUCAGAGGUGAAAUUCUUGGAUUUACGGAAGAUAAACUACUGCGAAAGCAUUCGCCAAGGAUGUUUUCAUUAAUCAAGAACGAAAGUACGC
rnacentral:rRNA from 1 species